GCUCCUGUAGCGUAGUUGGUUUAUCGCCUCGUACUUAUACUGAUUUCUGUCAGUAUGCAAUGCGAAGGUCCCGAGUUCGAGCCUCGGCAGGAGCA